rnacentral:rRNA from 1 species
GAUUGUUUGAUCCUGGCUCAGAGCGAACGCUGGCGGCAGGCCUAACACAUGCAAGUCGAACGGAUCCUUCGGGAUUAGUGGCGGACGGGUGAGUAACACGUGGGAACGUGCCCUUUGGUUCGGAACAACUCAGGGAAACUUGAGCUAAUACCGGAUGUGCCCUUCGGGGGAAAGAUUUAUCGCCAUUGGAGCGGCCCGCGUCUGAUUAGCUAGUUGGUGAGGUAAAGGCUCACCAAGGCGACGAUCAGUAGCUGGUCUGAGAGGAUGAUCAGCCACAUUGGGACUGAGACACGGCCCAAACUCCUACGGGAGGCAACAGUGGGGAAUCUUGCGCAAUGGGCGAAAGCCUGACGCAGCCAUGCCGCGUGAAUGAUGAAGGUCUUAGGAUUGUAAAAUUCUUUCACCGGGGACGAUAAUGACGGUACCCGGAGAAGAAGCCCCGGCUAACUUCGUGCCAGCAGCCGCGGUAAUACGAAGGGGGCUAGCGUUGCUCGGAAUUACUGGGCGUAAAGGGAGCGUAGGCGGACUGUUAAGUUAGAGGUGAAAGCCCAGGGCUCAACCUUGGAAUUGCCUUUGAUACUGGCAGUCUUGAGUACGGAAGAGGUAUGUGGAACUCCGAGUGUAGAGGUGAAAUUCGUAGAUAUUCGGAAGAACACCAGUGGCGAAGGCGACAUACUGGUCCGUUACUGACGCUGAGGCUCGAAAGCGUGGGGAGCAAACAGGAUUAGAUACCCUGGUAGUCCACGCCGUAAACGAUGAGUGCUAGUUGUCGGCAUGCAUGCAUGUCGGUGACGCAGCUAACGCAUAAGCACUCCGC